rnacentral:rRNA from 1 species
GAUGAACGCUGGCGGCGUGCUUAACACAUGCAAGUCGAGCGAAGCACCUUGAAGUCUUCGGACUAAGAGGUGACUGAGCGGCGGACGGGUGAGUAACGCGUGGGUAACCUGCCUCAUACAGGGGGAUAACAGUUAGAAAUGACUGCUAAUACCGCAUAAGACCACGGUGCCGCAUGGCAGAGUGGUAAAAACUCCGGUGGUAUGAGAUGGACCCGCGUCUGAUUAGGUAGUUGGUGGGGUAAC